rnacentral:rRNA from 1 species
AGGCUUUGAUCCUGGCUCAGGACGAACGCUGGCGGCAUGCCUAAUACAUGCAAGUCGAACGCCGACGCACUCUGCUUGCAGAGUGUUGAGGAGUGGCGAACGGGUGAGUAACACGUGGAGAACCUGCCCAUAAGAGGGGGAUAACAUCCGGAAACGGGUGCUAAUACCGCAUAGGUGGCUGGAGCGCAUGCUCUAGUCAUGAAAGACGGCUUCGGCUGUCGCUUAUGGAUGGACCCGCGGCGUAUUAGCUAGUUGGUGAGGUAACGGCUCACCAAGGCUAAUGAUACGUAGCCGACCUGAGAGGGUGAUCGGCCACACUGGGACUGAGACACGGCCCAGACUCCUACGGGAGGCAGCAGUAGGGAAUCUUCCACAAUGGGCGAAAGCCUGAUGGAGCAAUACCGCGUGAGUGAAGAAGGUCUUCGGAUCGUAAAGCUCUGUUGUUAGAGAAGAACACGCAGAACAGUAACUGGUUCUGCGCUGACGGUAUCUAACCAGAAAGUCACGGCUAAUAACG